ACAAACCAAUCUUUUCUUCCAAACAUGUGUGAUGAGCAUCCUGAGUCCAAGUACUACUGGUCCUUGAAUCUCUCUUCUUCUCUUGUUGUAACCAUCAACAACAUCUCUUCUUCUUCAUGUUUCGCCAGUUUUGCUUAAGUUUCUUGAUUCUUCUGUUUUUCUGGACAAUCACUAGAAUAGUGACCAUACCUUUGACAAUUGUAAUACUGAAUGUGACUCUUGUCUGGCUUUU
rnacentral:lncRNA from 1 species